UUAGUUCGAACGUGGGUUCUACGAGGCAUAGAACACGAUCCCCCGCCCGCCGCCGAUCCACGUGAGCCGGCUGAUUGCGCAAUAGUGCACGCUGACUUUGACCCCCGUGCAGGCAUGCAUAUCCGGGUCACAGGCGCUUCAUAUUUCAGAGGCAACAUGGCCACGGUAGAAGGAACACUUGAACGUAAAAAAACACCCGAAAAUGCGCAUUUUCUUGGUCAGAGCCGCAUUUUUCCCCGUAGAAGAGUGGAUAAGUGCCUUCGUCAUUGAACAUCCGACUUAGGCUUGACAAGUGCUGGGAGAAAAUGAAGUACCAGGAAUGAGAAGAGGAUGACAACUCACACAAGUCCUUAUUCAAGGUAGCCCCAAGGCCAGACUAUGCUGACAGCAUAGCCCAGUCUCCAGCCAUGAAAAGCAGAGGUUCACUGUUAUCUGGGGAACAUGAAAUUAGGAAUACUUUAGAUCCAGGUCAUACUGCUGUCCAUGGUGGCUACUAAGAGAGUCCUGUCAGAAUGUGGAUAGUGUCCAACUCCAACUUCCUCAAUGUCCAUGCCAGGUUCUGUGAUGUCCCAGAGUUGACUCACUAGCUAGAUUUUUACAUCACCACUGCUAGCUGCAGUUCAGUUUCCCCUAGUAAAUUAACUUGUCACCUUGCAUGGUUUGUGUGCAUUUAUGUUAAAUACAGACUAAGAUUGGUGACAGUUAUUCCACAUAUCACUGCCUCCUAGCAUCAUGAUAUGACAAAUGUUCAGUCUGUUGACAGAUUAAAAGAGGAAUUUUGCUUCUGUGAAGUAACCUUUUUAACUCACUUAUCUUGUUGCAUUGUAUAAAUUAGUUCAUGAUCCUUGUAAAGACUUGUUUUGAAUAAAGGAUGCAGCAUGCAA